UGAUACUUCUCCUGGAACUUGGCCUUUAUCCCCUGCAGGUCCACCUGUGGGAAGGAUGACGACAACUACGUAGGUGACAGCAUCCAUGGUGUUUGAAAAGGAGUCAUUCUGGGCCACAGAGCUAUAUACAAACAGCUGCUUGACUCCUUUCAUUUCGCCAAGGCUUCUGCCACAGCAGCGGGGACAAGCCUGCCACUUCCCCUUCACCUCACUUCUGCUCACCAAGGCCUGACAGCCCCAGGCGCUCUCUGUGACACUUGCUUGCUGGCUGCUUCCAAGUUUCUGCCUACUCCGGCCCUUCUCUUUCCAAGACUCACAUUCUUCUCUGAGAGGGGGUGCAGACUGCUCCUUAGGGAGCAAAAGAAGCCCCAGUCUUUUUAUAUAUGAAGUACUAGUAUUUGCAUUGGAGCUCAUAAGCAGAUAUUCAGUAUUCUCUGUGCUGUUAAGUUUGGGUGAGGAAAGAUAGUAAUUUGAAAAAAAAUAAGUGUCUAAAAUAGCUCUUUGAGAGGGUCUGGAUUGGAAAAAAAGAAGCCAAGAAACUGUUUUGUUGAAAUUUUAGUUGGGGGGUGGGGUUGAUUUUUUUUUGUUUGUUUGUUUGUUUUGUUAUUCUGAAAAAAACUCAUCCUUGUAAGGUGUGCUCCGUUAGAUAAAGAGAGUGAGGAAGUCACUUGUGUCCUAUCUCUGCUUGCUGCGGGGUGACCCCUUUCCAAGGCUCUGGAUUGUUUUCCUUAAAAUAGAGCUGGGUGUAGCUGUGCUACCUCGGAACAGCUCCAGCAGUUCCUCUUUACUGCGCCACCAGCUCUCUGGAGCCACCGAUGACAAGAAUAGAAGCAGCUCUCAGUAUUGUAUCUUAAUAAAAGACAAGGAGAAGGCUGAAGUAGAGUCCAAUGUGGUCUGCAUAUUCUGGGAAGGGAAGGGCUGUCUUUGUCUUACGGGGUUUUGAGAAAUAGUCCAACGACAACAACAGUAACCAAUGACAUCAGUGGGAGGAAAAGAUGUUGGAGUCCCCUUUUUUAGAGUCAAGUGUUUCUUACCUCUG